rnacentral:rRNA from 1 species
AGCGAACGCUGGCGGCAGGCCUAACACAUGCAAGUCGAACGAACUCUUCGGAGUUAGUGGCGGACGGGUGAGUAACACGUGGGAACGUGCCUUUUGGUUCGGAAUAACUCAGGGAAACUUGUGCUAAUACCGAAUGUGCCCUUCGGGGGAAAGAUUUAUCGCCAUUAGAGCGGCCCGCGUCUGAUUAGCUAGUUGGUGAGGUAACGGCUCACCAAGGCGACGAUCAGUAGCUGGUCUGAGAGGAUGACCAGCCACACUGGGACUGAGACACGGCCCAGACUCCUGCGGGAGGCAGGAGGGGGGAAUGUGGCGGAAUGGGCGAAAGCCUGACGGAGCCAUGGCGGGUGAAUGAUGAAGGUGUUAGGAUUGUAAAAUUGUUUCACCGGGGACGAUAAUGACGGUACCCGGAGAAGAAGCCCCGGCUAACUUCGUG